rnacentral:rRNA from 1 species
AGAGUUUGAUCCUGGCUCAGAUUGAACGCUGGCGGCAUGCCUUACACAUGCAAGUCGAACGGCAGCAUGGAGAGCUUGCUCUCUGAUGGCGAGUGGCGAACGGGUGAGUAAUACAUCGGAACGUGUCCGUUUGUGGGGGACAACCGUCCGAAAGGAUGGCUAAUACCGCAUAAGACCUGAGGGUGAAAGCCGGGGACCGCAAGGCCCGGCGCAGACGGAGCGGCCGAUGAUUGAUUAGCUAGUUGGGGAGGUAAAGGCUCACCAAGGCGACGAUCAAUAGCUGGUCUGAGAGGACGACCAGCCACACUGGAACUGAGACACGGUCCAGACUCCUACGGGAGGCAGCAGUGGGGAAUUUUGGACAAUGGGGGCAACCCUGAUCCAGCCAUGCCGCGUGCGGGAAGAAGGCCUUCGGGUUGUAAACCGCUUUUGUCAGGGACGAAAAGCUCCGGAGUAAUAUGCCGGAGUGCUGACGGUACCUGAAGAAUAAGCACCGGCUAACUACGUGCCAGCAGCCGCGGUAAUACGUAGGGUGCAAGCGUUAAUCGGAAUUACUGGGCGUAAAGCGUGCGCAGGCGGUUGGGUAAGACAGAUGUGAAAUCCCCGGGCUUAACCUGGGAACUGCAUUUGUGACUGUCCGACUGGAGUACGUCAGAGGGGGGUGGAAUUCCACGUGUAGCAGUGAAAUGCGUAGAUAUGUGGAAGAACACCGAUGGCGAAGGCAGCCCCCUGGGACGCAACUGACGCUCAUGCACGAAAGCGUGGGGAGCAAACAGGAUUAGAUACCCUGGUAGUCCACGCCCUAAACGAUGUCUGCUGGUUGUUGGGAAUUUAAUUCUCAGUAACGAAGCCAACGCGUGAAGCAGACCGCCUGGGGAGUACGGUCGCAAGAUUAAAACUCAAAG